rnacentral:rRNA from 1 species
ACAUGCCUACAACAUAGCGUUAAUUCACUAGAUCCCAUUAGAACUCCACAAUUAAGCAUGCUCAGGAUAGAGUAGUACUGGGAUGUGUGAUUGUUCGGGAAGUCCUAGUGUUUUACAUGCC